CCUACGGGGGGCAGCAGUGGGGAAUAUUGGACAAUGGGGGGAACCCUGAUCCAGCCAUGCCGCGUGUGUGAAGAAGGCCUUUUGGUUGUAAAGCACUUUAAGUGGGGAGGAGGCUUACCUGGUUAAUACCUGGGCUAAGUGGACGUUACCCACAGAAUAAGCACCGGCUAACUCUGUGCCAGCAGCCGCGGUAAUACAGAGGGUGCGAGCGUUAAUCGGAUUUACUGGGCGUAAAGCGCGCGUAGGUGGUUAAUUAAGUCAAAUGUGAAAUCCCCGAGCUUAACUUGGGAAUUGCAUUCG
rnacentral:rRNA from 1 species